CCCGUCGAAUAUAGAAGAUAAAAAAAAUAUAUAAAUACAUAGCUUGAGAGUUAUCAAUCACACAAAUUUUAGUUUAAAAAACACAUAAACUGAAAACACGAGCUAGGCCAAUGGCACCUACUGUAAAACUUCCCACGCACGAAAGGAAGUCGGAAUUAUAAAGUCACUAAGCCAAAACAGUCUGCGCAACAUCAAAAAGUCGUUCGAAAUAAAGAAACAUGUUGAUUGCGUUGAUAAAAAGGACAAACGAAAUGGACAACCUUAAAUUUUUCAGUUUUCUUGUUAGUUUCGUUGUAAGAAACUAUAGAUAAAUUUUAUUAGAAAUAUCUUGUCGUAAAAUGUUCUGUCAAGCUUCUUGAAUUGUUGGUUGUAGUGAUGGGAAACCAAUAAAUACAAAUAAAAUCAAAACACGAAUAGAUGUUAAA